rnacentral:lncRNA from 1 species
AUGAGAAUGCCCUCUGAUGUCUACGGAUGGUGAGUCAACAAAAGAAAGUCAAGAACCUGAACCAGCCCACCAACAACAAUGAAAAGUCAGCAGUCUGCAACCUGGAAGAGGGUCCUCACCAGAACCUGACCAGGCUGGCACACCCAUCUCAGACUUCCAGCCUCCAGAGCAGAUCUAAAUUCUCCUGGCAACAUAUUUCUGGCGGCUAAGAAUUGGAGGAUUUUGGCUUUCUACUUGACCGUGACUCACCUUCUCAGGAUCUCAGUAUUUUCUGCUUCUAGUGAAAACAUUGUUUUCUCAAAACCUGACUCA